GAUAGACUUGCUGUGUGCGACUGGAAAUCUAUCCUGACGUUAUCUUCAGUGCUUGAGGGAAGCAGGCACUACAUCUGCAUGUUCACAGAGCUCAAUGCUGCCUCAAUACAGGAGAAAUUCCUUGCCCAGGAAGGAGAACAUUCCCUCACCCCAUCCUCCUGUGAAAUGCGUAAUUCAACAUCCUGCUUGACACCAGUCAACACUGAGGUUUAAACACACUAGUGAAGACGACCUUUCAUAGGCAGAACCAGAAUUUAAAAAAGAGAAUUAUGAGAGCACCAACUGGUGCUGCAGGGGUGGCUGCACUCCCUGCCCUUUCAGAACAGCCAACCAAGCUAUGGGAGCAACAGCUCGGACUUCUAAAAAAAAAAUCCUCCAUUCAGGGAGCACAGGGCCUGGAGCAGAAAGCAGACCAGAUCG